rnacentral:rRNA from 1 species
GAUGAACGCUAGCUACAGGCUUAACACAUGCAAGUCGAGGGGAAACGACAUCGAAAGCUUGCUUUUGAUGGGCGUCGACCGGCGCACGGGUGAGUAACGCGUAUCCAACCUGCCCAUCACUUGGGAAUAACCUUGCGAAAGUAAGACUAAUACCCAAUGAUAUCCCACGAAGGCAUCGGAAUGGGAUUAAAGAUUUAUCGGUGAUGGAUGGGGAUGCGUCUGAUUAGCUUGUUGGCGGGGUAACGGCCCACCAAGGCAACGAUCAGUAGGGGUUCUGAGAGGAAGGUCCCCCACAUUGGAACUGAGACACGGUCCAAACGCCUACGGGAGGCAGCAGUGAGGAAUAUUGGUCAAUGGGCGAGAGCCUGAACCAGCCAAGUAGCGUGCAGGAAGACGGCCCUAUGGGUGGUAAACUGCUUUUAUAAGGGAAUAAAGUGGGUCACGUGUGACUUUUUGCAUGUACCUUAUGAAUAAGAACCGGCUAAUUCCGUG